GCUGGGUGUGUUGGCACAUGCCUGUAAUCCCAGCUACUCGGGAGGCUGAGGCACAAGAAUAGCUUGAACCCGGGAGGCACAGGUUGCAGUGAGCUGAGAUCAUACCACUGCACUCCAGCCUGGGCAACAGAGCAAGACUGUGUCUCUC
ensembl:misc_RNA Metazoa_SRP Metazoan signal recognition particle RNA